rnacentral:rRNA from 1 species
UACGUAGGGCGCAAGCGUUGUCCGGAUUUAUUGGGCGUAAAGAGCUCGUAGGCGGUCUGUCGCGUCGGCUGUGAAAACCCGAGGCUCAACCUCGGGCCUGCAGUGGGUACGGGCAGACUAGAGUGCGGUAGGGGAGACUGGAAUUCCUGGUGUAGCGGUGAAAUGCGCAGAUAUCAGGAGGAACACCGGUGGCGAAGGCGGGUCUCUGGGCCGUAACUGACGCUGAGGAGCGAAAGCGUGGGGAGCGAACAGG